GACAGUGCUUGAAGGUGUAUAGGGGGUGGAACCAAGGAAAGGUGCUCGGAGGUGGGUAGGGAGUGGAGACAAGGGAGAGUGCUCAAAGGUGGGUAUGAUGGUGCUCUGAGGUGGGUAGGGGGUGGAGACAAGGGACAGUGCUUGAAGGUGUAUAGGGGGUGGAACCAAGGAAAGGUGCUCGGAGGUGGGUAGGGAGUGGAGACAAGGGAGAGUGCUCAAAGGUGGGUAUGAUGGUGCUCUGAGGUGGAGACAAGGGACAGUGCUUGAAGGUGUAUAGGGGGUGGAACCAAGGAAAGGUGCUCGGAGGUGGGUAGGGAGUGGAGACAAGGGAGAGUGCUCAAAGGUGGGUAUGAUGGUGCUCUGAGGUGGGUAGGGGGUGGAGACAAGGGACAGUGCUUGAAGGUGUAU